GACGAACGCUGGCGGCGUGCCUAAUACAUGCAAGUCGAGCGAAGUUUUUCUGGUGCUUGCACUAGAAAAACUUAGCGGCGAACGGGUGAGUAACACGUAAAGAACCUGCCUCAUAGACUGGGACAACUAUUGGAAACGAUAGCUAAUACCGGAUAACAGUAUUUCUCGCAUGAGAGAUAUUUAAAAGUUGGUUAUGCUAACACUAUGAGAUGGCUUUGCGGUGCAUUAGCUAGUUGGUGGGGUAAAGGCCCACCAAGGCGACGAUGCAUAGCCGACCUGAGGGGGUGAUCGGCCACACUGGGACUGGGACACGGCCCAGACUCCUACGGGAGGCAGCAGUAGGGAAUCUUCCGCAAUGGGCGAAAGCCUGACGGAGCAACGCCGCGUGAGUGAAGAAGGAUUUCGGUUCGUAAAGCUCUGUUGUUAGGGAAGAAUGGAUAUGUAGUAACUAUACAUGUAAGAGACGGUACCUAACCAGAAAGCCACGGCUAACUACGUG
rnacentral:rRNA from 1 species